AGAGUCACUCCUACGGGAGGCAGCAGUGGGGAAUCUUGCGCAAUGGGCGAAAGCCUGACGCAGCGACGCCGCGUGUGGGAUGAAGGCCUUCGGGUUGUAAACCUCUUUCAGCACAGACGAAGUUGCUCCCACGUGUGGGGGUGGUGACGGUAUGUGCAGAAGAAGCACCGGCCAACUACGUGCCAGCAGCCGCGGUAAUACGUAGGGUGCGAGCGUUGUCCGGAAUUAUUGGGCGUAAAGAGCUCGUAGGCGGUUUGUCGCGUCUGCCGUGAAAGUCCGGGGCUCAACUCCGGAUCUGCGGUGGGUACGGGCAGACUAGAGUGAUGUAGGGGAGACUGGAAUUCUCGGUGUAGCAGUGAAAUGCGUAGAUAUCGAGAGGAACACCAGUGGCGAAGGCGAGUCCCUGGACAACUCCUGACGCUGAGGCACGAAAGCUAGGGGAGCAAACAGGAUUAGAUACCCUGGUAGUCCUAGCCGUAAACGGUGCGCAUUUGCUGUGAGCGGAAUCGACCCCGUUCGUGGCGAAGCUAACGCGUUAAAUGCGCCGCCUGGGAAGUACGGUCGCAAGAUUAAAACUUAAAGGAAUUGACG
rnacentral:rRNA from 1 species